rnacentral:rRNA from 1 species
ACGGAAGGCAGCAGUGGGGAAUCUUCCGCAAUGGGCGCAAGCCUGACGGAGCAACGCCGCGUGAGUGAAGAAGGUCUUCGGAUCGUAAAGCUCUGUUGAGAGGGACGAGAGAUAAUGUCAGGAAAUGGGUAUUAGAGGACGGUACCUUUCGAGGGAGCCACGGCUAACUACGUGCCAGCAGCCGCGGUAAUACGUAGGUGGCGAGCGUUGUCCGGAAUUAUUGGGCGUAAAGGGAGCGCAGGUGGGAUUGCAAGUCAGUCUUAAAAGUGCGGGGCUCACCCCCGUGAUGGGAUUGAACCUGCAGUUCUUGAGUGCAGGAGAGGAAAGCGGAAUUCCUACUGUAGCGGUGAAAUGCGCAGAUAUUAGGAGGAACACCAGUGGCGAAGGCGGCUUUCUGGACUGUAACUGACACUGAGGCUCGAAAGCGUGGGGAGCGAACAGGAUUAGAUACCCUGGUA